GAUGAACGCUAGCGACAGGCCUAACACAUGCAAGUCGAGGGGUAACAUUAUUAAAAGCUUGCUCUAAUAGAUGACGACCGGCGCACGGGUGCGUAACGCGUAUGCAACCUACCCAUUACAGGAGGAUAGCCCAGAGAAAUUUGGAUUAAUACUCCAUAGUAUUUACGAGAAGCAUUUCUUGUAUUUUAAAAGCUUCGUUGGUAAUGGAUGCGCAUGCGUAUGAUUAGUUAGUUGGUAGGGUACCGGCCUACCAAGACGACGAUCAUUAGGGGUUCUGAGAGGAUAGUCCCCCACACUGGUACUGAGACACGGACCAGACUCCUACGGGAGGCAGCAGUGAGGAAUAUUGGUCAAUGGGCGAGAGCCUGAACCAGCCAAGUCGCGUGCAGGACGACUGCCCUAUGGGUUGUAAACUGCUUUUAUAUAGGAAUAAUUGUUUCUACGUGUAGGGAUUUGAAUGUACUAUAUGAAUAAGCACCGGCUAACUCCGUGCCAGCAGCCGCGGUAAUACGGAGGGUGCAAGCGUUAUCCGGAUUUAUUGGGUUUAAAGGGUGCGUAGGCGGGUUCAUAAGUCAGUGGUGAAAGUCUGUCGCUUAACGAUAGAAUCGCCAUUGAAACUGUGGAUCUUGAAUACAGUAGAGGUAGGCGGAAUAUAUUGUGUAGCGGUGAAAUGCAUAGAUACGGUAUAGAACACCUAUUGCGAAGGCAGCUUACUAUGCUGUAAUUGACGCUGAUGCACGAAAGCGUGGGGAGCGAACAGG
rnacentral:rRNA from 1 species